AAUAAAAACACGUGAACAGCAACGGUGACGUCAGAGUGCGGAGGAGGAGGAAACGUCACAGUCGUUAAUCUUACAACGUACGGGGCCAUUAAUUUCUUCGCCGAUGUCACGUUAUAGCUAUAAAAUUACUGCACAAUCGCGUACCUACGUCAACUUUCUUAUGAGGCUUCCGCAUUCGAAACUUUGUUUUGAAAAGUCUUGGAACACGUUGCAUCUAUGAAACCCACUACCAACAUGAGAACCGUGAGGAAUAUUCUAGGUUGAAUGCUGGCAUUCGAGAGUCCAACAAGGCUUUGCUGUAGCACAAUAUAACAAACUUAUAGGUAUCUAAUGAUAUUUAAGAAAUACCAUAGACUUUGCACACAAUCUGUCAUCUUUACAUACAAUUUUUCCAUGACAUACGCCUGCGGGAAAUAAACGGUUGAAAUUUUCAUCCACAUCGCCUUCUUUCCAUGAUAAUUUUAAAUUUCAAUUAUUUAAUAUAUUUAUUUAAAAUUUCAUUCAUAAAUGUUUAUUAUUAAUUGAUUAACUGUACAAAUUAAAGUAAUGUUUGGUUUGAACGCUUCAAUUAUUUAUUAUCUAGGUUGGAAUUGAGUUGAAGCAUCAUAAUUAGAUACGAAAUUCAAAAUCAAUGGAAAGCUUAUGAAUUGAAUUGAAAUCGAAAAAGUAUACUAAAUAUUAGAAAAAAAGCAGACACGAAAAAGGGUUUUAAGUUGCGUCACACACGUCGCAAUCACCGGCCGAAGGUAAUGGCAUUUGCAGAUGUAUUUCAGCAACUGAACAAAGAAAACGCACAACUACUCUCAAAAUGAGUGGCGCAAUUUUCAUUGUGAGGUGAUGUGAUGUCCGUAUGCCCCGGUCACGACUUAACACCAAGAUAAUCAUGAAUUUUCCACCCAUCUAAAUAUCGCAAGAAAAAAACUAUUAGAAAAGAAUGUAAUAAAGGCAAUAGAAGGUCA